ensembl:lncRNA
AUGGAGAUGAGUGGCUUCCUGGUCACAUCAGCAGCCUUGCUGUUUAUAGCUAACGGACAGAGCAACUAUGAUAUGUUGAUGGAGGUUGACAAGAAACAUGUUGACAUGGCUAUAAGAUAUGCAAAUAAGAAUAGUGAGAUUCAGAAAAAUAAUCCAAAAGAGCACCUCAAUUUUUUUAAAGUUGUUGGACAAUCUGAGAUCAAUGCUCGGGAAUUUAAAAUCAACUUGUUGUUGAAAGCAACAGACUGCCCUAAGGCCAGUAGAGAUAGUGAACAUAAACAUCGCCCUGAAUGUCACUUUAAAUCCAGAAGGCCUUAUAUAAACUGUGUUGUUUGCCGCAAAGACUUCCAUGACCCCUACAUUGACUGUGUUCUCGACAAAGAUGUGAAGAAGCAAGAUAACAUCCGAUAUGACAAGUGUACAUUUCUUCUUCAUGGAGGGCCUACAAUGUUACUCUUACCUGCCGAAGAAGACCUUCAGACUGGAUGCCUAGACUGUUUCUGAUAACUAAUGAAAGAACGUGUACUGAUGGUCAGAGGCCGUCCUUAUAAAGCACUUCUGUCUUUGGAUUUAUAAUGUAGCCUUUUGGGAGCUUCGGUUGGAAUUUAACACAAUGCAAUUGUCUCAAAAAUACUCUUUCUAGUUUUGAAUCUCUCGUAAUAUACAGAUAAAUAUUGUAAAUGUACCCUUUGCUGAUUGUCCACAUAUAUUCAAAGAAAAAUUGAGAGCAGUCUGCUACUUGAGAUUCACAUGGAUUACCCCACUGCUUAUUUCAAAAUAAUAUUACUGUUGAAAGUAAAGCUUACUCUAAUUUAACCAGUAUGAGGGGUGAAAUAAGGAUGUUAUUGGACUCUUUUUUUCUUCUUCUGAAUCUUAAAAUUUGUUUAUUUGUUUUACAAUUUUGGGAAGAAAAUUGCCUGUAUGUCUGCAUAUGUCUUGCAGUGUAAAAUGAUUGCAGCUCUGUUUCUACUUCUCUCAGGGCAGAGUGCCCACAGUCUUAUCUCUGGGCAGCCAGUUCUGCCUGUGACCGCAGAUCACUACUAGGUUUUUAUAGGUAACAUAAUGAACUUAGGGUCUGGUCCCUAUGGCCAGGCUGUGUUCACUGAGUCUGCACAUUGUCAAUUCAGUAUUUUCCUCAGUCACUGUGAUCAUAUGUCUGUAGAACAAACAGCAUUAAAGUUUGCUUUGGGUUUUGACUUUCUAAAAGGUGAUAUUUUUUAUUUUAGAUUCGAUGACGGUUUGGUUGGUUAACAACAACCAGAACUUGGCUUAGAUUGUUGUCGGACUUCAAUCAAAUAUUAUUUUAAGGGGUGGAUCAGCUGUAUUGCAGAAAUAAAUUCAUUACAAAUCCUACAAUAUGAUUUUCUCAUUUUGUCUUUCAUAGUUGAAGUGUACCUAUGAUGAAAAUUACAGGCCUCAUCUUUUUAAGUGGGAGAACUUGCACAAUUGGUGGGUGACUAAAUACUUUUUUGCCCCACUGUAAACUCUAAUUGUGCCUUUUCAAAAUCAGCUAUGAAAACCAGGCAUGGUGUCCCCGAUGUUUCCCGUAUUUGUCUUAUUAUCUCCAAUGUAUCGUCCAUGUCAGAAAAACUGUCAAUACUGUUUUGAUUCUAUGUGCCAAGCAUUUAGCUAGAAUCUUUGCAUCACACCACUGAAGUGUAAGAGGCCUCCAAUUUGUUUAAUGGAUCAUUAUAUAUACCACUUGGAUCCUGUUUCAGUAAUGAAAUCAGACCUUGUCUGAUAAUCUACCAUUUAUAUAGGAGUGUGUCAUGGUCGUUGUAAGGAGGAGACCAAGGCGCAGCGUGGUAUGCGUACACUCUUUUUUUUAAAGAAUGAACACUGAACAAACUAACAAAUAACAGAACGACAUGUGAAGCUAUAUAAACGAGUGCUGACCGGCAACUAGACAGACAAGAACCCACCAAUACCCUAGGAAAAUGGCUACCUAAAUAUGGUCCCCAACCAGAGACGACGAUAAACAGCUACCUCUGAUUGGGAACCAUAUCAGGCCACCAUAGACCUACAAAAACUAUCAUACCCACCCUAGUCACACCCUGACCUAACCAAAAUGAUAAAGAUAACUAAGGUCAGGGCGUGACAGAGUGGUUAAAACAUGCUAAUAAUGGUCCUCCGCAUUUGUAGCAAGUUUCAAUAAAAAAAAUCUGAAGAUUAAAUGAUUUGGUGCAUUUUCCCCAUAUUCCAUCCAGUUCACUUCAUUUUUAAACUACACUGCUCAAAAUAAAGGGAACACUAAAAUAACACAUCCUAGAUCUGAAUGAAUGAAAUAUUCGUAUUAUACCUUUUUCUUUACAUAGUUGAAUGUGCUGACAACAAAAUCACACAAAAAUGAUCAAUGGAAAUCAAAUGUAUCAACCCAUGGAGGUCUGGAUUUGGAGUCACACUCAAAAUUUAAGUGGAAAACCACACUACAGGCUGAUCCAACUUUAAUGUAAUGUCCUUAAAACAAGUCAAAAUGAGGCUCAGUAGUGUGUGUGGCCUCCACGUGCCUGUAUGACCUCCCUACAAUGCCUGGGCAUGCUCCUGCUGAGGUGGCGGAUGUGAGACCAUAUGCUGGUGUAGUUGGCCCUGGGUUUCUCCUAAUGCAAGACAAUGCUAGACCUCAUGUGGCUGGAGUGUGUCAGCAGUUCCUGCAAGAGGAAGGCAUUGAUGCUAUGGACUGGCCCGCCCGUUCCCCAGACCUGAAUCCAAUUGAGCACAUCUGGAACAUCAUGUCUCGCUCCAUCCACCAACGCCACAUUGCACCACAGACUGUCCAGGAGUUGGCGAAUGCUUUAGCCACCUCAUCAGGAGCAUGCCCAGGCGUUGUAGGGAGGUCAUACAGGCAUGUGGAGGCCACACACACUACUGAGCCUAAUUU